rnacentral:rRNA from 1 species
UACGGAGGGUGCAAGCGUUGUCCGGAAUCACUGGGCUUAAAGGGUGCGUAGGCGGGCAUUCAAGUCAGGGGUGAAAUCCUCCAGCUUAACUGGAGAACUGCCUCUGAUACUGGAUGCCUCGAGUGAGGUAGGGGCGUGCGGAACUGAUGGUGGAGCGGUGAAAUGUGUUGAUAUCAUCAGGAACUCCGGUGGCGAAAGCGGCGCGCUGGACCUUAACUGACGCUGAGGCACGAAAGCCAGGGGAGCGAACGGG